rnacentral:rRNA from 1 species
CCUACGGGAGGCAGCAGUGAGGAAUAUUGGUCAAUGGACGAGAGUCUGAACCAGCGAAGUAGCGUGAAGGAUGACUGCCCUAUGGGUUGUAAACUUCUUUUAUAUGGGAAUAAAACAGGGUAUGCAUACACUCUUGUCUGUCCCAUUUGAAUCCGGAUCGGCUAACUCCGUGCAAGCAGCCGCGGUAAUACGGAGGAUCCGAGCGUUAACCGGAUUUAUUGGGUUGAACGGGAGCGUAGGUGGAUUGUUAAGUCAGUUGUGAAAGUUUGCGGCACAACCGUAAAAUUGCAGUUGAAACUGGCAGUCUUGAGUACAGUAGAGGUGGGCGGAAUUCGUGGUGUAGCGGUGAAAUGCGUAGAUAUCACGAAGAACUCCGAUUGCGAAGGCAGCUCACUGGACUGCAACUGACAUUGAUGCUCGAAAGUGUGGGUAUCAAACAGGAUUAGAUACCCCUGUAGUC